rnacentral:lncRNA from 1 species
GUUGCCCAGAGAUGGUCACCCAAGAGGGGGGUGAAUUGGGUGUUUUAAAACUUUUCGCCUAAUUAAAAAUAAAACACACAAAUAUAUGCACUAAAGUAAAGAAGGAGGAAUGAGAAAGGUCAAUCGCAAACACAAGGUUUUAUAGUGGUUCGGAGCUUCCACUGCUCCUACAUCCACUCCCCAAAUCACCUUUGGGAAUUUCCAC